GCACCCUUGGCUCAGUUGGAAAGCGCAUCGGUCUUCGGAACCGAGGGUUGCAGGUUCGAAUCCUGCCGGGUGUA
rnacentral:tRNA from 1 species